rnacentral:lncRNA from 1 species
CGGAGCUGAUCGCCAUCAGAGCAGAGCUGGCGCGAUACCGUUUGCUGUUGGCUAAUCGGACUAGCGAGCUGGGAAGGCUGCGCGUGAGUGAGAUCCGGCUGCUGACCACACUCAGCCUGGCCGCAACCACCGCCAGCCACGCGGCGUCCAUCCUGGAAGCGCGCAGGUCAGGAGCGGCGUGGCUGGGAGCGACUACGGGACACGGCGGCGACGCCACGUUCAGUGGUGUUCCUCGCGACAAACUCUUCUUCCUCGUGAACUGCUUCCAGUCUUGCGGACGCUCUGGCCGGGAACGGAUUAUGCAGGCACCGUUCUGCAACGUGGCUUUACCGGCAGCAGCGGCGUUCAGGCGCGCUUUUCAGUGUGAUCCGACUCACAGCCUCUGGACCAACUUCACGUGGAGAGAGUUCUGAUGGAACCAUACAUGUCAUCAAGCGGUCUACACCAGUGCUCCUAAUCCCACGACUCUUCAUCUACACACGAGCUCAAAUGGACAUACCUUUCUUCAUAGAUCGUCUCAUAACGAAUGAUGUGCUUUUUAUCGCCUACAGUCAUUUAGAUAAUAUGAAUUAGCUUCUAAUUAACGCGAAACUCCUGACCGUGAAGCAACAAUAAUUUUGCACACGGACUUUUGUGUAGGUGCGCCUCUAAAAUGAGAAGACAAUAUUAUUGAAUAAUGCCUGACUUGAUGUGGAUAGUUUGCAAAUUGCACCGCUUUCUCUGGCGCGCUUUCCAAAUUUCACCGCUUGCACACGUGCUCCUUUCGUGCCUUGCUGUGCUGUCAGAACAGUGGAGGACGGAUGGACGGUGCGGUGUUAUUUUGGUUUCGUGAACUUCUUACGAUAAAGGAACUUUUGGUACAAACAG